UUUACUCCUGCUGCUUAAUGACUUGACAUUUUAGUACUGUUUGCCUUGACGUAUUCAGAAUACUGCUUCCGAGCAUCUUUGCUCACCAGUAUAAUUAGGUCCCCAUCCUUCUAAUACUUGCACAUGUACUCAACUUUAAGUUCACCAGUAGUACCACUGAUUUUAAUAGGAACUAGUCACAUGCUUAAAGUGAAGCAUGUGCAUAAAUGUUUGCAGGAUAGGGACCUUAGUUGUUGUAAUUCUUUGCCCAUAGUAAUGUAGGCCUGGUCUAAACUGGAACGUUUUUUGAUAUAUCUUUAGUUUUUUUCAGUAUAAAUUGCUUUGCAGUCACACACAAAUUCUCUCUUUUUGCUUUAUUUUGCAUCUUAUCCAGCUAUAACUAAUCCGCUUUGAAGCAACAUAACUUUAUUUCAGAAUGAGUUAUAGAAGUGUAAGGUUUGUAUGGACACAUCUCCAUUUCAGAUGAACAGCACUGCUUCAGGUAGUCCUCCCACUACCAUCCCCACCUGCACAUUACUUCACAUCUACAUUGGCCUGCCUGGUUACUGGUGCUUUGGGGUACUCUUGACUGGAUGUCCCCCCUCUGUUUAAACACUGGCAUAUACCCAUAGCCAUCUGUGUGAUAAAUUCACAGACACCAAAUCCUUUCAAGCCAUCAUGCUCUGUACUUCUGCAUGUUCCCAUCAGGGAAUGCUGUAUUGCCUUGCCCUGUGGAGAGAAGAACAUGUUUACUUUCAUCAGUCCAGUAGUCACCGGAAUGCCAAGAUCUACCAGCAGCUAGCACAGCAAAUUCAGGAGAAGGGGUGCUCUUGGGACAUGAGCCAAUGCUGUGCCAAAACAAGCAGCUGAUUCAGAAUUACUAAAAAUGCUAAAGAUAAAAACAAGACCUCCGUUAAUGCUCCCAUCACAUGUGUGUGCUAUGAAGAGCUGGACUGAAUUUUUGCCUUUUGAAAGAGGACACCACAGAACCCCGGUAUAUGUCGACAUCUGAGCCAUGGUCUGUACUAAAACAGACACACCUUUGGAAACUACACAGGCAACUAUGGACACCUGUCCAGGAGGAAUUUCCCCUGGGCAACCAAGAUCUCUUUAACAGAGACCCAGCUUGAUACACCCCCAGGGACCCUUCCAGAGAGCUAGGGUGAGAGUGCUGCAGAGGGGAUCUCAUCCACCUGUGGCAUGGCACAGCCCACAUCGAACGGGGUGUUACCAAUAGCUGAGUUCCUGGCAAUCCUCUGAGGGAAGAGAGAGAAGACAAAGAAGAUGUUUGGUGACCUCGUGAAGGAGUCCCAGCAGAGGGCAAAAAACUCUAGGGAACGGAGCGAAAGAUUUGUGCUGCAGGACAGGAAUGAGGGAAAGGACAACAGGGCAUAUGCCGAGGAGCUGUCAAGAGAUCACAUGGACUGACUGACCAGAGAAAGGGACCUGCAGGAAAGAAUGCUGGACAUGAUGCAGAAGGAGACAAGUUUGCUGGAGAACAAUAUUAUGCUGUAUUCAUGUGUAACGCUCUAACCUAAUCCUGUGCUGCCACCUAUUCAGAUCACAGUGUACUGGGAGCCCCCUUUCAUUCCCCAGCUGCAAGAGAGAGACAGUUCCCUCACCAUUCAACCCCCAAGACAAGGAGAGAACACCAAUGAUCCCCAUCUACACAUUUUUGAGUCCCUAUUUUAACAAACAUAUAUUCACUCUAUACCUUGGUUACUUCUGUACUAUUUUAAUUCUUUUUAAGUUUGCUCUUUCUUGUUAUGUGUUAAAUCAAUAGUUUUGUUUACCAUUGCACGUGUAUCAAUGACAUUUUUAAGCCAGCUCUUCCUACCAAUAUGCAUUCCUAAUAAAAUUAAUUCACAAACUGUA